GGGAGAUAACGCUGGCGGCGUGCUUACACCUGCAAGUCGAGCGAGAAGGAAGAUGUGGAACUCUUCGGAGGAAAUAUCUACUGGAAAGCGGCGGACGGGUGAGUAACGCGUGGGUAACCUGCCUUGUACAGAGGGAUAGCCACUGGAAACGGUGAUUAAAACCUCAUAAAACUAUAUUAUCGCAUGGUAAUAUAGUCAAAACUCAGGUGGUACAAGAUGGACCCGCGUCUGAUUAGCUAGUUGGUGAGGUAAAGGCUCACCAAGGCGACGAUCAGUAGCCGACCUGAGAGGGUGAACGGCCACACUGGAACUGAGAAACGGUCCAGACUCCUACGGGAGGCAGCAGUGGGGAAUAUUGCACAAUGGGCGAAAGCCUGAUGCAGCAACGCCGCGUGAGCGAAGAAGGCUUUCGGGUCGUAAAGCUCUGUCCUAUGGGAAGAAGAAGUGACGGUACCAUAGGAGGAAGCCCCGGCUAACUACGUGCCAGCAGACGCGGUAAUACGUAAGGGGCGAGCGUUAUCCGGAAUUACUGGGCGUAAAGGGUGAGUAAGCGGGCAAAUAAGCCAGAAGUGAAAGGCUAGGGCUUAACCCUAGUAAGCCUAUGGAACUGUAUGGCUUGAAGUGCAGGAGAGGAGAGUGGAAUUCCUAGUGUAACGGGUGAAAUGCGUAGAUAUCAGGAGGAACACCAGUGGAAAAGCAAUCCCUGGACUGCGCUGGAGCUGAAGACAAAAGCGUGGGAACAACAGGAUAGAAAACCGAGAAUCCACGCGUAAAC
rnacentral:rRNA from 1 species